GACGAACGCUGGCGGCGUGCCUAAUACAUGCAAGUCGAACGCAGGGGGGACGGGUGAGUAACACGUUGGUAACCUCCCAUCAGACGGGAUAACACUUGGAAACAGGUGCUAAACCGCUACUGAUGGAUGGACAUUCGGUGCAUUAGCUAGUUGGUGGGGUAACGGCUAACCAAGGCCACGAGGCAUAGCCGACCGGAGAGGGUGAUCGGCCACACUGGGACUGAGACACGGCCCAGACUCCUACGGGAGGCAGCAGUAGGGAAUCUUCGGCAAUGGACGAAAGUCUGACCGAGCAACGCCGCGUGAGUGAAGAAGGUUUUCGGAUCGUAAAACUCUGUUGUUAGAGAAGCGGUAUCUAACCAGAAAGCCACGGCUAACUACGUGCCAGCAGCCGCGGUAAUUC
rnacentral:rRNA from 1 species